rnacentral:rRNA from 1 species
GAUGAACGCUGGCGGCGUGCCUAAUACAUGCAAGUCGAGCGAACAGACGAGGAGCUUGCUCCUCUGACGUUAGCGGCGGACGGGUGAGUAACACGUGCAUAACCUACCUAUAAGACUGGGAUAACUUCGGGAAACCGGAGCUAAUACCGGAUAAUAUAUUGAACCGCAUGGUUCAAUAGUGAAAGACGGUUUUGCUGUCACUUAUAGAUGGAUCCGCGCCGCAUUAGCUAGUUGGUAAGGUAACGGCUUACCAAGGCAACGAUGCGUAGCCGACCUGAGAGGGUGAUCGGCCACACUGGAACUGAGACACGGUCCAGACUCCUACGGGAGGCAGCAGUAGGGAAUCUUCCGCAAAGGGCGAAAGCCUGACGGAGCAACGCCGCGUGAGUGAUGAAGGUCUUCGGAUCGUAAAACUCUGUUAUUAGGGAAGAACAAAUGUGUAAGUAACUAUGCACGUCUUGACGGUACCUAAUCAGAAAGCCACGGCUAACUACGUG